rnacentral:rRNA from 1 species
UACCCGCAGCGCGAGUGGUGGUCAUUAUUAUUGGGCCUAAAGCGUCCGUAGCCGGUUUGGUAAAUGCCUGGGUAAAUCGAUGCGCUCAACGUAUCGAAUUCCGGGUAGACUGCCAGACUUGAGACCGGGAGAGGUGUGGGGUACUCGGGGGGUAGGGGUAAAAUCCUGUAAUCCUCCGGGGACCACCAGUGGCGAAGGCGCCACACUGGAACGGCUCUGACGGUGAGGGACGAAGCCCUGGGGCGCAAACCGG